rnacentral:rRNA from 2 species
AGUCUGACGGAGCAACGCCGCGUGAGUGAUGAAGGCUUUCGGGUCGUAAAACUCUGUUGUUAGGGAAGAACAAGUAUGAGAGUAACUGCUCGUACCUUGACGGUACCUAACCAGAAAGCCACGGCUAACUACGUGCCAGCAGCCGCGGUAAUACGUAGGUGGCAAGCGUUAUCCGGAAUUAUUGGGCGUAAAGCGCGCGCAGGCGGUUUCUUAAGUCUGAUGUGAAAGCCCACGGCUCAACCGUGGAGGGUCAUUGGAAACUGGGGAACUUGAGUGCAGAAGAGAAAAGCGGAAUUCCACGUGUAGCGGUGAAAUGCGUAGAGAUGUGGAGGAACACCAGUGGCGAAGGCGGCUUUUUGGUCUGUAACUGACGCUGAGGCGCGAAAGCGUGGGGAGCAAACAGGAUUAGAUACCCUGGUAGUCCACGCCGUAAACGAUGAGUGCUAAGUGUUAGAGGGUUUCCGCCCUUUAGUGCUGCAGCUAACGCAUUAAGCACUCCGCCUGGGG